CUUUACGACCAUACUACCCUGAAUAUGUGUGAUCUUGUCUGAUCUCGGAAGCUAAGCAGGGUCAGGAAUGGUUAGUACUUGGAUUGGGUAAACACAGUCUUAAAUU
rnacentral:rRNA from 1 species